rnacentral:rRNA from 1 species
GGAAUUUUCCGCAAUGGGCGAAAGCCUGACGGAGCAACGCCGCGUGAGGGAUGAAGGCCUCUGGGCUGUAAACCUCUUUUAUCAAGGAAGAAGAUCUGACGGUACUUGAUGAAUAAGCCACGGCUAAUUCCGUGCCAGCAGCCGCGGUAAUACGGGAGUGGCAAGCGUUAUCCGGAAUUAUUGGGCGUAAAGCGUCCGCAGGCGGUCUUUUAAGUCUGUCGUCAAAGCGUGGAGCUUAACUCCAUUCCUGCGAUGGAAACUGGGAGACUAGAGUGUGGUAGGGGCAGAGGGAAUUCCCGGUGUAGCGGUGAAAUGCGUAGAUAUCGGGAAGAACACCAGUGGCGAAGGCGCUCUGCUGGGCCAUAACUGACGCUCAUGGACGAAAGCCAGGGGAGCGAAAGGGAUUAGAUACCCCUGUAGUCCUGGCCGUAAACGAUGAACACUAGGUGUCGGGGGAAUCGACCCCCUCGGUGUCGUAGCCAACGCGUUAAGUGUUCCGCCUGGGGAGUACGCACGCAAGUGUGAAACUCAAAUGAAUUGACGG